UACGUAGGGUGCGAGCGUUGUCCGGAAUUAUUGGGCGUAAAGAGCGUGUAGGCGGUUUGGUAGGUCCGCUGUGAAAACUCGAGCUCAACCUCGAGACGCCGGUGGAAACCAUCAGACUAGAGUCCGGAAGAGGAGAGUGGAAUUCCUGGUGUAGCGGUGAAAUGCGCAGAUAUCAGGAAGAACACCCGUGGCUAAGGCGGCUCUCUAGUACGGUACUGACGCUGAGACGCGAAAGCGUGGGGAGCGAACGGG
rnacentral:rRNA from 1 species